rnacentral:misc_RNA from 1 species
AGCAACUAUGGAAGAGGGCGAAGAAUCCGCCGCUCCUACUGCUUCUGCUUCCAGAUUGAAGAGGGAAGACUAUAAGCGGACCAAGCACGACUCCCACUUCUCCAAAUGGCAGGUUCUUAUUGGACCUACUGAUUGGGAAGACUACUCCCAGGGGAAGGAAGGAGCGACCAGGUACAGGGUUCACAACCUCCCAGCUAGCUCAGGUCCCGGUUUAUAUGAGCUUGGCGUAGCGGUCUCUCGCUCUGGGCUUGAGCGUGUCUUUGGCAAGCUUGAUCCGUAUGACAUCGUGGUCGUUUACCUUGGCCAAGCAGACAAUGUUAGGAGUCGCCUCCAGCAUUAUGGCCGUUCUGGUGCUCAUUUGGCCAAUGCCUAUGCAACUGGUCACUGGGAUACAAAAAACGACUCUCCUCAAAAGGGGCUUGGUUUAUUCGAGGAGAUAU